rnacentral:rRNA from 1 species
GAUGAACGCUAGCUACAGGCUUAACACAUGCAAGUCGAGGGGGCAGCAUGACUGAAGCUUGCUUCAGUUGAUGGCGACCGGCGCACGGGUGCGUAACGCGUAUCGAAUCUGCCCGUUACUCGGGGAUAGCCUUGCGAAAGUAAGAUUAAUACCCGAUGUUGUCAUUAUGCCGCAUGACAUGAUGACCAAAGGUUUACCGGUAACGGAUGACGAUGCGUCUGAUUAGGUAGAUGGCGGGGUAACGGCCCACCAUGCCGACGAUCAGUAGGGGUUCUGAGAGGAAGGUCCCCCACAUUGGAACUGAGACACGGUCCAAACCUCCUACGGGAGGCAGCAGUGAGGAAUAUUGGUCAAUGGACGAGAGUCUGAACCAGCCAAGUAGCGUGCAGGAU